GACGAACGCUGGCGGCGUGCUUAACACAUGCAAGUCGAACGGAAAGGCACUGAUUUUGUGGGGUGAUCGGGGGGCGAACGGGUGAGUAACAGGUGAGUAACCUGCCCUUGACUUUGGGAUAACUUCAGGAAACUGGGGCUAAUACCGGAUAGGAGAUGCUGCAGCAGUGUGGGGGUUGGAAAGUCUGGGCGGUUGGGGAUGGAUUCGCGGCUUAUCAGCUUGUUGGUGGGGUAGUGGUUUACCAAGGCUUUGACGGGUAGCCGGCCCGAGAGGGUGACCGGGCACAUUAGGACUGGGACACGGCCCAGCCUCCUACGCGAGCCACCGGUGGGGAAUCUUCCACAGUGAGCGGAAUCCGGAUGCAGCACCGCCGCGGUUGGGAUGACGGCAUUUUGGUUGUAAACCGCUUUCGCCUGUGACGAAGCGUGAGUGACGGUAAUGGGUAAAUAAGCACCGGCUAACUACGUG
rnacentral:rRNA from 1 species